rnacentral:snRNA from 1 species
GGAUGUGAAGGCGAUUUGGCUGUGACAUCUGUCACUCCAUUGAUUGUCAGGGUUGAUUCAGCUGAUCUGACUGGUUAGGCAGGUAUCCCCUUCCUCCCUCACAGAAGCUGUGUGCUCAGUGGAAGAGGAUGACGUUGAGUUAUAGAAGGGGUGUAUCGAGGUCUCUGGUUUUCAGUCCUGGGUAUACGAUAGCUGCACUCUCUUGUUAGAACCUCCAAACAAGCUCAGGAUAUUCAUACAGGCUUUUCUUCUUUCUUUCCUGCCUCUGUUUUUAAUUAUACAGUAAUCAUGCAUAAUAAUUAGUGGAACUUUUUAGUGCUGGAUAUUCUGAGGAUGGAAACUUCUUCCUGGAGGAGGCUGCCUUUCUUU